rnacentral:rRNA from 1 species
AUACGAGUAGGGCAAGCGUUAUCCGGAAUUAUUGGGCGUAAAGAGUGCGUAGGCGGUUUAUUAAGUCUGGUGUGAAAUUUCAUGGCUUAACUGUGAAGGGUCAUUGGAAACUGAUAAACUUGAGUACGGUAGGGGUAAGUGGAAUUCCAAGUGGAGCGGUGGAAUGCGUAGAUAUUUGGAGGAACACCAGUGGCGAAGGCGACUACCUGGACCGAUACUGACACUGAGGAGCGAAAGCGUGGGGAGC